rnacentral:misc_RNA from 1 species
GAUGAAGAACGUAGCGAAAUGCGAUACUUGGUGUGAAUUGCAGAAUCCCGUGAACCAUCGAGUCUUUGAACGCAAGUUGCGCCCGAAGCCAUCAGGUUGAGGGCACGUCUGCCUGGGCGUCACAUAUCGUUGCCCAAUGCCUAUUGCAGUGCAAUAGGAAUUUCUAGGGCGAAUGAUGGCUUCCCGUGAGCGUUGUUGCCUCGCGGUUGGUUGAAAAUCGAGUCCUUGGUAGGGUGUGCCAUGGUAGAUGGUGGUCGAGUUAGAACGAUACCGAUCAUGUGCAUGCUCCCCAAAAUAUGGCCUCUAUGACCUACACGCGUCUUUUGACGCUCAUGACGAGACCUCAGGUCAGGCGGGGCUACCCGCUGAAUUUAAGCAUAUCAAUAAGCGGAGGA